UUAGUCUCUAUAUUUCUUUAGAUAAUUGCAAUUUAAAAAGUAAUUGGCAUAUUUUUCUACUAUUAAUAAGUGAAGCCUUAGGUGCGACAAGGGUGCUUUGAUUAUUCUAUGUUAUCUGUGUCGCUUGCGUUACUUCAUUUCCAUAUCGCUUUGAAUCUCUUAGCCGUAUCUGACCUCUUUUUAUGUUUUUAUUGAGUCGAGGGUCUCUCGGAAACAGCCAUCCUACCUUGGUAGGAGUAAGGUCUGCGUACACUCUACCCUCCCCAGACCCCACGUUGUGGGAUUUCACUGGGUUGUUGUUGUUGUUGUUGUAGGUGCGACAAGGGCAUAUACGUAAAUAAAUCAAAGCUGCUGAUUUUAAUCUGCUUCUUCUGGUAAACCGUUUGAUGACACGUGCAUAGGUGUUUAUUGUAAGCAUAUCUACGUGCAACUUCCCGUCUCCCCUGUGUUUGAUGAUAUGCUUGACCCAAUUGAAAGUAGAUGAAAGCAAAAGAAAUUUCAAAGACCGGAAAAAGGGUGAGAAGAGGCUUCAUAUUUUGAAAAUGAUAAGUGGGGAUAAUUAAUAUGCAUUUGUACUGCAGUGGACUACUCAAAUCUCUUCAACUUUGUCAAAUGUAGGAUCAUAAUUUCAAGUAUCUGCAGCAUGAUUACCGGGAAGGUUCAAAAAAGAAGCACCACAGUCGGCAUGCUUUAAGGAAAAAGGCCAGGAAAUAGAUGAUGUCAUUCAACAAGGUUGCAGCAUCAACAGAGCCAACACUAGGAACUUGUGUGUCAGCUAUGGAGAUUCGAAUAAUUGAGGGAAGAGAGGGAGAGAGAGAUAGUAGAUGAUUUAUAUAAAGGCCAUUACAGAAGGGAAAUUGCUUGCGCUGAUUUUAUCAAGUGGCCAGGUACUGAUGCUUGAAUAUUGCAGUGGCUCCGGUGUACACCUGCCUCCUAAAUCUUUCCAAAUUGAAUUAGUAUGUUACUGUGAUUUUACUUGAAGCAGGUUAAGAAAUUCUAUAAGUGCCAAUCAAGAAAGUGAAUUACUACUGCUAAUGAUAGAAUCAUUUAACCAAAUGUAGGGUCGUUGGCUAUAUAGUGUUUAUACCUACCAGCUAUUAUAAUCUGUUGAACUAAAUUAGAGUUUCCAGGUUGAAUGUUAACUCUAGCGCAUCCAUAUUC